GAUGCCGUCGGAAGCACCAGCUUCUGGAAGGGCCACCCUUGGCGGUAAGGUCAAGGUUGAGGGUCCAGACUAAGAACGAUCCAACCUACAAGACCUCAACGGCGGACCAGGCGGACGAACUUAUCUUGAACUCAAUGGCUCUGAAGGCGGAUGAUCUGGGGAAGGG